rnacentral:rRNA from 1 species
CUCGCCAGGGGACUACAAGCCCAAGCUUAAAACCCAAAGGACUUGGCGGUGCUUUAGACCCACCUAGAGGAGCCUGUUCUAGAACCGAUAAUCCCCGUUCAACCUCACCCUCCCUUGCUUAUCCCGCCUAUAUACCGCCGUCGUCAGCUUACCCUAUGAAGGAUCAACAGUAAGCAAAAUUGGCAUAGCCUAAAACGUCAGGUCGAGGUGUAGCGUAUGAGAGGGAAAGAAAUGGGCUACAUUUACUGAAACAGUAAAUCACGGAAGAUGAAAUGAAAUAAGCAUCCAAAGGAGGAUUUAGCAGUAAGAGAAAAAUAGAGUGUCUCUCUGAAACUGGCCCUGAAGCGCGCACACACCGCCCGUCACUCUCCCCGGCUAAAAUAAAUAAAAUAAAUAAAAAAAUAUACCUGCAAAGGGGAGGCAAGUCGUAACAUGGUAAGUGUACCGGAAGGUGUACUUGGAAAAAU